CAUCGGUUCAAAUCCGAUAAGGGGC
rnacentral:tRNA from 39 species